AAAGCAUAAGUGCGGUCGUUGUGGUAAAGAAGGCCAUAAUCGAGUAACAUGUGAUGUAGCAAUAUAAGGAUUAUGUUGCAACUGCUCUAUUGAACGUUUCUAGUUACCACUAUAUGGAUUUUGAACUUCUUUCUCAUUUCAUGAUUAUUUUCGCAUUUUUUAUUUCAGAUUUGAAUUUCCUAGUACUCUAUGUUUGAAUUUUUGUUCUCAUAAUUGGAAUCCCUACUACUCUUAUGUUCGUGGUUUUGCUUUGAGUUUCGGAUUGACUUAUCACUAAAUUAAGUAUA